rnacentral:rRNA from 1 species
AGUGAACGCUGGCGGUAGGCCUAACACAUGCAAGUCGAACGGCAGCACAGUAAGAGCUUGCUCUUACGGGUGGCGAGUGGCGGACGGGUGAGGAAUACAUCGGAAUCUACUUUUUCGUGGGGGAUAACGUAGGGAAACUUACGCUAAUACCGCAUACGACCUACGGGUGAAAGCAGGGGAUCUUCGGACCUUGCGCGAUUGAAUGAGCCGAUGUCGGAUUAGCUAGUUUGCGGGGUAAAGGCCCACCAAGGCGACGAUCCGUAGCUGGUCUGAGAGGAUGAUCAGCCACACUGGAACUGAGACACGGUCCAGACUCCUACGGGAGGCAGCAGUGGGGAAUAUUGGACAAUGGGCGCAAGCCUGAUCCAGCCAUACCGCGUGGGUGAAGAAGGCCUUCGGGUUGUAAAGCACUUUUGUUGGGAAAGAAAAGCAGCAGGUUAAUACCCCGCUGUUCUGACGGUACCAAAAGAAUAAGCACCGGCUAACUUCGUG